rnacentral:rRNA from 1 species
UAGGGAAUAUUGCACAAUGGAGGAAACUCUGAUGCAGCGACGCCGCGUGAGUGAUGAAGGCCUUCGGGUCGUAAAGCUCUGUCGCAGGGGAAUAACACAAUGAAUGUACCCUGUAAGAAAGGAUCGGCUAACUUCGUGCCAGCAGCCGCGGUAAGACGAGGGAUCCUAGCGUUGUUCGGAAUUAUUGGGCGUAAAGCGGAUGUAGGUGGCUUUGUAAGUCAGGUGUGAAAGCCUGGGGCUCAACCCCAGAAGUGCAUUUGAUACUGCGAAGCUUGAGUGUCGGAGAGGUUACUAGAAUUGUUGGUGUAGUGGUGAAAUACGUAGAUAUCAACAGGAAUACCGGAGGCGAAGGCGGGUAACUGGCCGAACACUGACACUGAGAUCCGAAAGCGUGGGGAUCAAACAG